AUCUUCUGCCUGUUUCACAGAUGACCUGCCUGGGGAGAGGGAGGGAAGGAAAAGGGGACAGCAGGUGGCACUCUGCCCCGAAACUCACUUCCAGCCAAAUGAGAAUUCCCUGCUGCCAAAUAGCAGGCACAGUUCUAGACUCUGGAGAUACCCAUCAGCAAAACAAAGACUCUGCCCUCAUGAAGUUUACAUCCUACUGGGGGAACUGGACAUCAAAUGAAGGAGAAUGCCGAGCUGUUCACAUGGCCUCCAAGCUCCCCCCACCCCUUGGUCUGGCUCACACCUACUCUCCAAGACAGCUGGGGUAGGAAGGACGAACAGCAGAUGAGGACCCCCCACAUUUCAUGACAAAGACCCAGCGUUGGGGACUCGGCAGCAUAAACCACGUGAAGACAUCUGUCCUCGCUACUGACUGGACCCUGAUCUGGGCGAAGCUGCUCCCCGCAUCCCUGACACAGGAAGCGGAUGGGUUCCCAUCCUCUACUGUCAGCUGCUCUCCACUCCCUGGCUUCCCUCUGACGCACUGCCCCGCCUCUAGGCUCCGCCCCCCUCUGCGGUGGCGCUGGCUGAAGUCACCAGUGACCUUUACUUCCCUGAUGCAAUGACUAUGUCCAGUCCUCCUCCACUUUGACCUUCCAGGAGCACUUUGCUGUUGCUCGUUCCUCCUUCUCCAGACGCUCUUUUCCCUUGACAUUUAGGAUGAAGCGCUCAUGGUUCUCCGGCGCCCCGACCGCCUCCGCUCAGUGUCCACUGAGGGCUCCCUCUUCCCUCCCCAGCCUGUACACGUUGACGGUCCUCGGGGCUCAGUCCCAGCCACUUCCUCUCUUCAUGACUGCCCUCCUCCUGGACAGUCCCAUCCAUACUCUUCAGUGUCAUCUACACAGGGGUCAAAUCUUUAUAUUUCCCAUCCAGAUCGCCUCUCCAGGCUCCAGAGCUGCACCAUCCCAUGCAAAAGCCACUAGCCACAUGUAGCUGUUGAGCAUCUGAAAUGUGACCAGUGCAACUGAGAAACUAAAGAUUUAACUUCAAUUAAUUUAAAUGGUAGAUGGCCACAUGUGGCUGUAGAAGCAAACAUAUCCUAUCAUAUCCACCUGCUUGCUGACAUUUCCUCUUGGCUGUCUCAGAGACUCGUCCACUCGGCUUGUCCAACACCAGGUACAUGGUCUUUCUUCCCAGUCCUGGUCCCCAUCUCAGUGACUGGCGCGAGUAUGUCAUCCACUUUCUCAAGCCAGAAAUCUGAAACUCACACCUGACUUUAUUCCCCCUUCAUUGCCAACACCUACUCAAGCUCUGUCCUCUCCGUCUCAAAUAUUUCUUCAAAUUCCCCAUCUUCUAUCACCACAACGCCCUGUUCGAGCUGCCACGGCCCCCCAGGUCUGAUCACAGACACCCUGGCUGCAAGGCCUCCUUAGCAUGGCCCCCAAGCCCUGGAAUAUGUGCCCCUGCCCAGCCUCCAGCCUUCGCAGGUACCGCUCAGCCACACUGUCUUUUUUCUGUCCCUUUUGCCUCCCAUGCCUUCUCUGCUCCAAGGACCUCGCCUUCACGCCUUGCGUCACCACUGUGUGGGUGACACUGUGGGUCUGUGGUCCUAGUGUGACUCAGUUAAUGCCUGUCUCUCCCAGAAGACCAUAAGCUGUAGGAGAGGGACUUCCGCUCUUCCUUGUUUACCAUUGUUUCUUCAGUCCCUUCACUGGGGCCCAGUACAUAGUAGCAGAAUGAGUAACUGAAUUAACAAAAGGGUGAUUGAAGGAAUGAGUCGUUGCCCUGGCUGGUGUGGCUCAGUGGAUUAAGUGCCGGCCUGUGAACCCAACGGUUGCUGGUUCAAUGCCCAGCCAGGUCGCAUGCUUGGGUUGUGAGCCAGGUCCUCAGUGGGGGGGGGCAACUGACCGAUGUGUCUCUAACACAUUGAUGUUUCUCUCCCUGUCU